AAUCAACUGAAAAUUGUCCAAUAUGCUGCGAGGAUAGACUGUUAGUGAUGGUGACGACAUUGAAAUGUACCCACAAGUUCUGUUCUCACUGUAUGAGAACUUAUGUUGAGGGUAAAGUCCAAUCUGGUCAAGUACCCAUUAGGUGCCCUCAGCUAAAAUGCAAAUACCUCAUCUCUGCAACUGAAUGUAUAUCUUUUCUCCCUCUUAACUCCUAUGGAUCUCUAGUGAGGGUCCUUGAAGAAGCGAAUGCUCUCAACUCGGACAAGCUUUACUGCCCGUAUCCAAAUUGUUCUGUUCUUUUGGAUCCUCAUGACUGUAUGUCCACUCGGGCUAGUUCAUCAAGCCAGUUAGAGAAUAGUUGUGUGGACUGUCCAGUUUGUCAAAGGUUUAUGUGUGUGGAUUGUAGGGUCCCAUGGCAUUCUUCAAUGACUUGUGAAGACUACCAAAAUCUCCCUUUGGAGGAGAGGGAUGCUGGUGACAUAACUUUGCAUCGCCUGGCACAAAAUAAGAGAUGGAGGCGCUGUUCACAGUGCAGGAGGAUGAUUGAGCUCACACACGGAUGCUAUCAUAUGACAUGCUGGUGUGGGCAUCAAUUCUGUUAUUCUUGUGGUGCGGAAUACAGGGACGGCCAACAGACGUGUCAAUGUGCAUUCUGGGAUGAGGAUUACACUCAAGAUUUGGUAACUCAACCGACACAACAGUUUGAGCAAUGGUCGUGGGACUCAUUUGAGUCGCUGCCUACUAUGAUGGAUGCAUAUUCAGAUGAAGAGAGAUCUCAGCUGGCAUUGAUCCAGAGAUUUCUCGCUGGUGGAUUCAGUCUCACAGACCAUCAAGCGUAUCAUCAAUCCCCACCACGUUGUACAGAUUCUUACGUCGAUGCCAUGAAGGAUCUCCAUCAGCUUCCAUGGCUUGAACGAUUCGUGUCUGUGAUCAGUGACAAUUACUAUGAAGAACACAUCCAGUGAAGUAUAGAUAGAUUUGAAGCCAUUUAGCAUUCAAAUGGGAGAUAAAUGAGUAUCUCACUCUCAAGACUCCUUUGAUAGUUUAAGCAAAUAGAUGUACUUCUUCAUUUGCUUCAUGCUAAAAGAGCUGUUGGGCCUUUUUUCCCUCUCCUCUUUUCAUCCUAAUUGUAUGAUGCAUUGGAAGUUACAAGAAGCUUCCUCUUCAUAUAAA
rnacentral:misc_RNA from 1 species